AGUAACGCGUGAGGAACCUGCCUUCCAGAGGGGGACAACAGUUGGAAACGACUGCUAAUACCGCAUGACACAUGACCGUGGCAUCACGGACAUGUCAAAGAUUUAUCGCUGGAAGAUGGCCUCGCGUCUGAUUAGCUAGUAGGCGGGGUAACGGCCCACCUAGGCGACGAUCAGUAGCCGGACUGAGAGGGCGGACGGCCACAUUGGGACUGAGACACGGCCCAAACUCCUACGGGAGGCAGCAG
rnacentral:rRNA from 1 species